AAGCAAAACAAAUUUCCACAUCCAUGCUCCCGCCACCCUCCCGUCCAGGAUACAUCGUUAUCUUCCCGUCGCCCUUAUUCAACCACCCACUUCUAGCCGCCACCGCUUUCCCCAGCCCGAAUUCGCAUCCAUACAUGUCAAACCUCGGUGAGCUCCCAACGUGAAUGAAGUUUCGAUCGAUCAUCUUACUUAAUUUUAUAAUGAAUGGAUUUUCAAUCCAUGACUUAACGCUUUCCUUAACUGAUGUAUCAGUGUAAUUUAUCACCGCUUCGUGCAACCGGAAAGCCGCCCACCCAAGCCCAUUUGCCAUCAAUUCCCCGACGGUUGCUGUUCCUCUGACCAUAGAAAUUGGGUUACCAAAAUAAUCAUCAGACAGAGGUGGGUUCAGCCGCCGCCGGUU
rnacentral:lncRNA from 1 species